rnacentral:rRNA from 1 species
AAUUAGAUCUCAAAUGAAGCGAGAAAACCGCUGAACUUAAGCUAUCAUUAAGCGGAGGAAAAGAAACUAACAAGGAUGCCCUCAGUAACGGCGAGUGAAGCGGGCAAAGCUCAAACUGAAAAUCGGAGCUCCAUGCGGGGCCUCGAAUUGUAGUCUAUAGACGCGCCAUCAGCGAUGAACCGGGUAUAAAUCUUUUGAAACAAGGUGUCAUAGAGGGUGAGAACCCCGUCUUUGACUCGGAGCUCAUUGCGUACGAUGCGUGUUCAAAGAGUCGAGUUGCUUGGGAUUGCAGCUCUAAGUGGGUGGUAAAUUUCAUCUAAAGCUAAAUAUUGACGAGAGACCGAUAGCGAACAAGUACCGUGAGGGAAAGAUGAAAAGAACUUUGAAAAGAGAGUUAAAAAGUACUUGAAAUUGUUAAGAGGGAAGCACUGAAAACCAGUAUUGCCGGUUGCUGUACUCGCUUGUCCGCGGGCUGGCGGCAGCGUGCCGAGACCGAAAGGCUCGGUUGCGUUGUCAAAGGUUCGUGGGCGGGUUUAGCAGUGAUUGGUAGGUCAAAAUCAGUUUGCCUCGCGGGAGAAAGCUAUGCGGAAGGUAGGGCGGAGGAGCAAUCCAAGGCCUGUUAUAGACGUGUAGUGCUACCGUGGGGUGGAUUGAGGAACAAAUGCGCGCCACUAGGUUUCAGUUCCCCGACCCUGGGGUGUGAUUCGCGCUGGAUAGCAAAGCUAUGCACGUGAAGUAGCGCCCUACUGGAAGGGAUGAACUAGAUGCUGUAUUCGAGAUUUUGACGAAAUGGUUUUCAUUGACCCGUCUUGAAACACGGACCAAGGAGUCUAACAUAUAUGCGAGUGUUUGGGUGGCAAACCCUUACGCGCAAUGAAAGUAAAGGCAGCUUGCUGCUGAGGUAGGAACCGUUGCUCUCGGGCAGCGGGGCACUAUCGACCGAUCGUCACUUGUGAUAGAUUUGAGUAUGAGCAUAUCUGUUGGGGACCGAAAGAUGGUGACCUAUGC